GCCCUGAUAGGGUUGCAAUGUACGCUGGCGGUCGUGCUCACGCGCGUACUGCUGGCGACAGCCCACCUGAGUCGAUUUGCCGAGUUCGUCUUUCACGAGCGGCUCGGUGACGUGUAAAAGCGCGAGCCUGGUGCCCUUUACCGGGUGCCGGGUGAGGUCGAUAAUUUUACCUUGAGUAAAUUAGAGUGUUCAAAGCAAGGUUGCUCGAAUAGUUGUGCAUGGAAUAAUGGAACAGGUCUCAGCGCCUUUCCGUUGGUCAGUGGUAGUCAGAGAAAUGAUUAAAAGGGACUGCCGGGGGCAUCGGUAUGGCGGGGGGAGAGGUGAAAUUCUUGGAUCCUCGCCAGACCAACAAUAGCGAAAGCAUUUGCCAAGAAUGUCUUCAUUAAUCAAGAACGAAAGUCAGAGGCUCGAAGACGAUCAGAUACCGUCGUAGUUCUGACCAUAAACGAUGUCAGCUAUGCCUGCGCGGCAGUUGUAUCUAAUGACGCUGCGCGGGCCCCCCGGGAAACCUUAAGCAUACGGAUUCCGGGGGAAGUAUGAACGCAAGUUUGAAACUUAAAGAAAUUGACGGAAGGGCACCACCAGGAGUGGAGCCUGCGGCUUAAUUUGACUCAACACGGGGAAACUCACCCGGCCCGGACACUGUAAGGAUUGACAGAUUGAGAGCUCUUUCUCGAUUCAGUGGAUGGUGGUGCAUGGCCGUUCGUAGUUGGUGGAGUGAUUUGUCUGGUUAAUUCCGAUAACGAACGAGACUCUAGCUUGCUAAAUAGUGCUGGCGGCGCGGUCGCCCUUCGGGGUACGUGGCCGUCGGUUAUGUUGAACUUCUUAGAAGGACUAGUGACUCUUAGUCACACGAGAUUGAGCAAUAACAGGGUCUGUGAUGCCCUUAGAUGUUCGGGGCCGCACGCGCGCUACACUGGAUACGGACAGCCGGGUUCCUCGCCCUGGCCCUUGCGGGUUGGGCAAUCCGUU
rnacentral:rRNA from 1 species